rnacentral:rRNA from 1 species
GUAGGGAAUAUUGGGCAAUGGAUGCAAGUCUGACCCAGCCAUCCCGCGUGCCGGAAGAAGGCCCUCAGGGUUGUAAACGGCUUUUGACGGUGAAGAAUCGACAGGAUGCGUCCUGUUUUGACGGUAGCCGUUGAAUAAGCACCGGCUAACUCCGUGCCAGCAGCCGCGGUAAUACGGAGGGUGCGAGCGUUGUCCGGAUUUAUUGGGUUUAAAGGGUGCGUAGGCUGGAAGGUCAGUCAGCGGUGAAAAGCUGUCGCUUAACGAUAGUCUUGCCGCAGAUACUUCCUUUCUUGGAUGAGGAGGAGGCCACUGGAACGGAUGGUGUAGCGGUGAAAUGCAUAGAUAUCAUCCAGAACACCGAUUGCGAAGGCAGGUGGCUGUACCUUAAUCGACGCUGAUGCACGAAAGCAUGGGGAGCAAACAGGAUUAGAAACCGUGUAGUCC